GCCCUCGUAGAUCAGCGGCAGAUCUCCUUCAUGAAAUAGAAAUCUGUGCUCCAACCUUAUGAAGGCGACGUGGGUUCGACUCCCACCGAGGGUA